GACGAACGCUGGCGGCGUGCUUAACACAUGCAAGUCGAACGGAAAGGCCCUGCCUUUGUGGGGUGCACGAGUGGCGAACGGGUGAGUAACACGUGAGUGACCUGCCCUGGACUUCGGGAUAACCCCAGGAAACUGGGGCUAAUACCGGAUAGGAGCAUGUGCUGCAUGGUGGGGGGUGGAGAGUUUCUGCGGUUGGGGAGGGACUCGGGGCUUAUCAGUGUGUUGGUGGGGUAGUGGCUUACCAAGGCGUUGACGGGUAGCCGGCCUGAGAGGGUGACCGGCCACAUUGGGACUGAGACACGGCCCAGACUCCUACGGGAGGCAGCAGUGGGGAAUAUUGCACAAUGGGCGGAAGCCUGAUGCAGCAACGCCGCGUGCGGGAUGACGGCCUUCGGGUUGUAAACCGCUUUCGCCUUUGACGAAGCGUGUGUGACGGUAAUUGGUAAAGAAGCACCGGCUAACUACGUG
rnacentral:rRNA from 1 species